rfam:Gorilla gorilla gorilla genomic chromosome, chr8, whole genome shotgun sequence
GGAUAUGAGAGUAAUUUGGCUGUGACACCUGCCACUGCAUUGAUUGUCAGGGUUGAUUCAUCUGAUCUGGCUGAAUAGACGGGUGUGCCCCUGCCUCCCUCACCGCUCCACCUGUGUCCCUCCUGAAGCUGCACACUUGGUCAAAAAGGGCAACCUUCUCUGACAGAGGAGGAUCAUUCUUUGGUCAAAGGCAUGCAAAAAGUUGCCAGUAUCCCCAAACAAGAAUAAGAAAAGGAGAGAUCAAUGAAGGGGAGAACGAGAAAAAAUGGCAAGGAGAAAAAAGAAAUUAAAGUUUAAAAACAGACCUGAAAAAUAAUAGUCUCCAG